rnacentral:rRNA from 1 species
CCAACCUGGUUGAUCCUGCCAGUAGUCAUAUGCUUGUCUCAAAGAUUAAGCCAUGCAUGUCUAAGUAUAAACUGCUAUACUGUGAAACUGCGAAUGGCUCAUUAAAUCAGUUAUAGUUUAUUUGAUGGUACCUUACUACACGGAUAACCGUAGUAAUUCUAGAGCUAAUACGUGCGCACACCCCGACUCCUGGA